UACGGAGGGAGCUAGCGUUGUUCGGAAUUACUGGGCGUAAAGCGCACGUAGGCGGCUAUUCAAGUCGGGGGUGAAAGCCCGGGGCUCAACCCCGGAACUGCCCUCGAAACUAGGUAGCUAGAAUCCUGGAGAGGCGAGUGGAAUUCCGAGUGUAGAGGUGAAAUUCGUAGAUAUUCGGAAGAACACCAGUGGCGAAGGCGACUCGCUGGACAAGUAUUGACGCUGAGGUGCGAAAGCGUGGGGAGCAAACAGG
rnacentral:rRNA from 1 species